GAAUUACUAGUUAAACUAAUAACAUAAGCUUGUCAAGCCUAAAUUACUUAAAAAUAAGUGUAAUUCC
rnacentral:tRNA from 1 species